UUCUUUCUCCCUCAACCUCUCGGACGGCGACGGCGGCGGCGGCUCAUCUUCUUCUCCGAUCAUCCUUUACUCUCUCCACUAUGAGCAUGACGACGACGCAUAUAUCCCCCUCUCAGAUGAACUCGCAGCGACGGAGGCCGGAGUUCUAUCAUUUCCGAGCAACAUCUCUUUGAGCACCGCUAGGGUACGACGUCCUCUCUUCUCUCACGGCCGCAAACAUCGAUUCAAGCCUCCUUCCGGCGUGAUCUCCUUCUUCACGUAAACGAUAGCGAUAGGCGUAUCUUUCCUCUCCGAUCAGAUGUUCAAAACGCCGUGGCUGACACGCAUAUCUCAGACCGUAUUGAAGAUGUGGAGAAAGACAAAAAUCUCGUGGAGCGAUGAUGAUGACGAGCGAUUGCCACAGUGAAGAAUACUUGUAAUGUUUUGGAUUUUUGUGAUUGAUGGUGAUGAUGAAGAGGUUCGGUUCAGAGAGUUUGAAGAUUAUGGUUGCUGGAGGUUUUGAAUCGAUGAAGGGUGAAGAAGAUGAAUCAAGGUUCUCUGUUCAUAGUGAAGGUUGAAGGUGGUUAGAGCUCUUUUCUGGUGAUGAUUGAAUUGAGGUGUGGAGAAGAUGAAGGUUUGAAGAUUGAUUGAGAUCACGGAGUUUGCGGAUAGAAUUGAAGAUGAAGGAGAGAAUUGAUUGUGUCAAGAUGUUAAGGGUUGAAGAGAGAGUCUGAAGUUUUUUACCUUCUUGUGAGAAGUUUGUUACUGGUUUUUUGCUUCCUUCCCCCUUCCGUUAUCGAUUUUCUGGUAUGAGUAUCUGCUUUCUCAUCUUGGCUGAACCGGUUUUCCAUUUUUAUUUUAGCUUGGUUCGGUUAUUCUUCUUUUAUGCAGGUGCUUUGUGGUUGACCGGAUCAGUUUUAUUGUAAAACUGCAGGAGAAGGUUUCUUUGGUUAUGAAUUCUUUGUGAGGUGCUAAGCUGCGGUCUUGCGGAUUGUCACAGAUGGAAUUAACCGUUUUUUCCUUGUGGUGCAGGGAUUUCUUUCGUUAUCAAUGCCACAAGUUUCUUGAAGGGAUUUUGUUACUUUUUCUGUAAUUUUUUGUAUGGUCUUUUUUUUUGUAAUGAGCUUGGACUUGGUCUUUUGAAUAGUGUAAUGGACACUUGUUGAGAACUUUUAUUUGUAAUAUUUGGAUUUUUGCAAUUUUGUAUGAAAU